GGUGGCUCUUGCGAGGCCGCGCAAGUGGCUGGACUGGAGCCUGGAGGCGCCCCCAAGGGCCAUCUCCUCUCCGGCCUCCCCACCUCUGCCGAGACCCGUUCCCGCUGAGGAGCCAGCCACGCCCACGCCACAGACAAGAGAAUAGAAGCAGAGGUGUGGGGAGGAGAGGCAGCCGCAGCCGCAGGGAAGAAGAGAAAGCCAAGAGCGGCGGCGGCCCCAUGCGUGCGAUGUUGGCCAGGUCGCCGGCGCUGCCCGUCCCCUACCUGACGGCCACUGAAACUGCCGCCGCCUCCUCGGCCUUCUUCCAACCCUGCCAUCUCUCCACUUCUCCAAGUGUCACCUUCUCCAAGAAGAAACAUGGAACAAGAUUAACUGUCCAGCCAAACACUCCGCAUGGAAACACUAAAGGUGCAAGUGGGAUUCAAGGAAAAUGGCGUACACUGUCGUCUGACCCAGCUCAAGCCGCCGCUGUCGUGGACGCCGGUGACAGCAAGACAUGGGAAGAGUGCAAGCAGAUACUCACCUCACUGAAUUUCUCCACCCAAGACGCCGAGAAGAUGCUGAAGAAGGCGUUCGGGUGGCUCCAUUCGCCGUACUGGACCGAGGAGAGAAAGAAGGAGGUUCCGAGCGCCGAGGUGGUAAGCGGAGUGCUGGACUACGUCAGGGGCCUGGGGCUCUCUGAUGACGACCUUUACAAGCUGCUCAAGAAAUUCCCAGAGGUUCUUGGGUGCGAUCUUGAGAGCGAGGUGAAGCUGAAUGUCGGCAAGCUGGACAGCGAUUGGGGGAUAAACGGGAAGACUCUCCGGAGUGUUCUUUUGCGGAAUCCCAAGGUUUUGGGCUACAAUGUGGAUUGCCGAGGGGACUGCGCCGCGCAGUGCACCCGCUGCUGGGUUAGGUUUUAGUGUG
rnacentral:rRNA from 1 species